CCCUUAGAUGUUCUGGGCCGCACGCGCGCUACACUGUUCGACGCAGCGAGUCUUAACCUUGACCGAAAGGUUUGGGUAAUCUUCAGCAAAGUCGAACGUGAUGGGGAUCGAUCAUUGCAAUUAUUGAUCGUGAACGAGGAAUUCCUAGUAAGUGCAAGUCAUCAGCUUGCGCUGAUUACGUCCCUGCCCUUUGUACACACCGCCCGUCGCUACUACCGAUUGAAUGGUUUAGUGAGAUCUCUGGAUUGACGCUGGCUAGGGGGCGACCCUUGGCCAGACUUUUGAGAAACUGCUCAAACUUGAUCAUUUAGAGGAAGUAAAAGUCGUAACA
rnacentral:rRNA from 1 species